UACGAAGGGGGCUAGCGUUGCUCGGAAUCACUGGGCGUAAAGCGCACGUAGGCGGAUCUUUAAGUCAGACGUGAAAUCCCUCGGCUUAACUGGGGAACUGCGUCUGAGACUGGUGGGCUUGAGUGCAGGAGAGGAACGCGGAAUUCCAGGUGUAGCGGUGAAAUGCGUAGAUAUCUGGAGGAACACCGGUGGCGAAGGCGGCGUUCUGGACUGCAACUGACACUGAGGAACGAAAGCCAGGGGAGCAAACGGG
rnacentral:rRNA from 1 species